AUCGCCAGAAUGGUUGCUUCGUCCCAUUUUAUACGAGACAGAUCACGACACUUAAUAAUACAAAAUACAAUACAAAACAGCACAAACAUGAAACACAGUUAUUAGCCGUUUUCACAUCAGAAGACGGACAAGUCGUCCAGACGAACAAACCGUCCCAAAAUCGUCUUUUAGUGGGACAAUCAUCAGAUGUGAAAACGUGUCGGACAAAAUUUUAGACGAACAAGUCGUCUGAAUUGUUCGACUACUUGUCUGUCUGUGAAGACGACCCUGGAGACGAUCCGUUCGCCCAGACGACCCGUCCGCCUCUAAUGUGAAUAAGGCUAUUUACUUAGUUCUAUGACAUGGACAGUCACGCACUAAUGACCAUGUACAUGGCAUUUCUAUAUCGAACAUUGUUCCGAGCAAGUGUUCAUAUGUGCUUCUAAUGUUUCUUUUAAACAAGGAGAGGGUGGCGAAGG